rnacentral:lncRNA from 1 species
GGUUAACUUAACUCCAGAUUUUUGGACUGUCCCAAUUACAUUUAUCCACACCAUGAGCCCAAUUCCUCUCGAGGUUUAUCAAACCCAACCAAUCCAAACAAAUUGAUUCAAUAAAUCCUAUCAUCUGAACCAAAUUUACUAACACAUUAAUUUAAUAUACCAAUCUAAUACCUAUAUCAAAACAUGUUACUUAAACCAACGUAGUGGAAGACAGAUAUGAAUUUAUACAAAGGACUCAA